rnacentral:snoRNA from 2 species
CAAGGUCGAAUGAUGAUCACAAGUGCAUAGUUCAUAUGAGCAAUUGUGAUUUCUUGAACAAAAAUGGUCUUUCGCUCCUAUCGGAUGACUUUU